GCUAAAGUGGCUCAGUUGGUAGAGCAGCUGAUUCGUAAUCAGCAGGUCGUGGGUUCAAGUCCCAUCUUUAGCU
rnacentral:tRNA from 1 species